UUGAACGCUGGCGGCAUGCUUUACACCUGCAAGUCGAACGGCAGCGCGGGCUUCGGCCUGGCGGCGAGUGGCGAACGGGUGAGUAAUGCAUCGGAACGUGCCCAGUAGUGGGGGAUAGCCCGGCGAAAGCCGGAUUAAUACCGCAUACGACCUGAGGGUGGAAGCGGGGGACCGAAAGGCCUCGCGCUAUUGGAGCGGCCGAUGUCGGAUUAGCUAGUUGGUGGGGUAAAGGCUUACCAAGGCGACGAUCCGUAGCUGGUCUGAGAGGACGACCAGCCACACUGGGACUGAGACACGGCCCAGACUCCUACGGGAGGCAGCAGUGGGGAAUUUUGGACAAUGGGGGCAACCCUGAUCCAGCCAUGCCGCGUGCGGGAAGAAGGCCUUCGGGUUGUAAACCGCUUUUGUUCGGGAAGAAAUCCUCUGGGCUAAUACCCCGGGGGGAUGACGGUACCGGAAGAAUAAGCACCGGCUAACUACGUG
rnacentral:rRNA from 1 species